rnacentral:ncRNA from 1 species
CAAGAUAAGAAUUUAAUUUUGGUUCAGAAUGAACGUUAUUCAGUAGUUUAAGACAUGCGAAUCGUUAUUACCUAUAAUCUAUUUUAGAAAAAAGGAUAUUUUAUAUUCUCUAAACUAAACAUAGCUCUGAAAGGAAUAAGGUGUACAGGUGAGUAAUGAUAAAUAUGAUACCUUAUAGUCUCAGUAGAUUAGGGAUAGUUAAGUAAGAAGUCUCGUUAGUGGUAAAAGUACAUGCCUAUCCAUACUGGUUUCGGCCGGAGCAACUAGGUCUCGUAACCUAUCACUAAACUAGACUCUAAAAGACAAUAAAUCUGAUAACCCCCAUUUCUCCUGCCGUAAGAAAGGUAAGGGCUAGCAAAACCAGGAAUAACUUUAAUUUAAUUUUAAUCUUCUUUCUGAAUAAUCAGUCUAGCUAAAGGUUUAUAAAAAGGAAUUUUUCCGCUAUAAGAUUCGAUUUAUUUUGUUUAAAGGUAGUUGGUUGGGUAAAAGCCUACCAAGCCUACGAUCAAUAGCCAAGCUUAACAGAGCCUCUGGCCACAUUGGGUCUGAAAAGCCCCAAGUAGAAUUAGCUACCAGCAGUCAAGAAUAUUAGUCAAUGCUCGCAAGAGUGAACUAGCUAACUGAAGUAGUCGGGAAUUGAAUUCAAAAAAUUCUUUCCCGAUUAAAAGAUAGAAUCUAACAAUGAUAGAACUAUCUUAUAGUGUUGUCCAAAGCACUGGUGCCAGAAGACUCGGUAAGGCCAGAAACGCGAACGUUAUUCGUCUUGAACAGGCGUAAAGGGUAAGUAGGCGGUUUUUUCACACAAAAAACUAGAAUCUAGAGGAGGAUAAUUAAAAUAAUACCUAGUUUAGGGGUAAUAUCCGCAUAGACUGGGUGGAGUACUAAAGGUGAAAGCUUUUUAUCUAACAAAAGAUUGACGCUCAGAGACGAAGGUGAGGGCAUGGAAUAGGAUUUUAGAUACCCAGAUACUCCUCACAGUCAAAUAUGAAUGGUAAUCGGUAUUCUCAAGGAGGGUACUGGUGCAGCUAUCGCAGAAACCAUUCCGCCUUGCGAGUACGGUUGCAAAACUGAAAGCAAAAAAAUUAGUCGGUCUCGGAGCAAACGGAGUGAAGCAUGUAGAUUAAUACGAUAGUCCGCGUAAAAUCUUACCAGUUCUUGAAUAGCCAUUGAAACUCAAAUACAGGGCCAAACUAUUCGACUUUUUUCGGAUAAUAAGGCUAGGUUAAUCUUUACGACUUUUAGUUGCAUAGAUAAACUUAUAAUAUUCAUUAUUAUAAUCACUAUGAGUGGAUAUGAGACAUAAUCUAAAAAUAAAUCCCUAAUACUAAGUGAAGAGGAGUGAAAAAGUAUUAGCAUAAAUUAGAUUGUGCGUUUACAGGUGUUGCAUGGCUGUCGUCAGUUCGUGUUUUGAGAAGUUAGGUUAAUUCCACUAACGGGCGAAAUCCCUGUUGCUAAUUAAUUCUUAGCAAACUUACGAUUGAUGAGAUUGUAAUUUUGGGGCUAAGACAAGUCAUUAUGGCCCUUAUGUUCUGGGCUUCUCAUGUGCCACAAAAGCUUUUACAAAGUGAUGCAAAAACCUCGCCUACAAAAAUGGAAGAUCUAAACCUAAAAAUUUCAGAUUAACAUUUUUACCGUUGAAAAUUUAAUAAAAAUUAAUCUUAAUCAAUUGCAUCUCUCUUUUCUGGGGAUCCAAUUAACAGGGCAUCGAUUAUCCUGAUUAAAUCACAAAGGAGGCACACAGGCAAAGCUAAUCAUUAAAGAAAGCUAGUUUAAUAAAAAAAAUAGCAGAUUGUCUCCUGUAACUCGGAGGCAUGAAGAAGGAAUUUCGAGUAAUCGUUGAUCACUACGCAACGGUGAACUUUUAAUCCGAGAUGAACUAACUGUCUGUCGCUGGGAAGGAGCUUGUAUGAUCGUAGUUGGACAGAGGCGAGUUUCUCACCUUCUAAAUUAAAAAUAAGAAAAUUCAACCCUAUUACUUUGAAUUUGGCACGUUCGCAAGACUUUAGUCGUGCGUAUCGGGUUUGUUUAUUUUUAAGGUUUUAUCUUUAGAGUUUUAUUAACUCUUAUAAACAGAAUUCUCUAUUUAUAAAGUAAAAAGUAUAAAUAGUAGAAAACCGCUUAGAAGCAAUUAACUUGAAGAGUUUGGCGAUAUUGUAUGAGUAACAUCUCAAAAGUCAUAGCAAGGUAGCCGUACUGGAAAGUGCUGCUGGAAAAUAAAAGAA